rnacentral:lncRNA from 1 species
AGAAUCCAGUUCUUUAGCAUUCACUGCUGUCAUUAUGACUCAGCUUGCCAAUCUGGGCACAAAGAAGCUAGAUACAAGUAGGUCAAGGCAAGGACAUGCUGACCAAAGUCAAUCACGAUUGUUUGAGCUGCCUCCUGACUUCCCUCCCAAGAUGGAGAGUUAUUUAAGGACCCAUGCAUUGUGUUUGUUUCUAUACCCCUAUCACCGAGCUAUGCGCCCGGUACGUGGUAAGUGUUUUGAUUUCCUGUGGCCGAGAGAUGAGAAACAACACCCUAGAAGAGAGGGAGACACAGUGAUGGCGGGAGAUUCAACAAUGGAUGGCUUGGCAUAGAAGUCAAGAGGGACACAUGGCUCUAUUCAUUACAGAAACCCAAUAUGUAACAACAGAAAUUCAUAGGGAAGAAAUAACUUUUCAUUCUCUACAUCCUCAUUCAUUCAACAAAUAUUUAUUGAACGUCGAUUUUGCAUGAGACUAUGAGGCAGAGUUAAGCAAUGAACUUCGAGUCUAUCCUUCUUCCACUGAACCCAGUUCAAUCUGGGAAGGAUGGAUGAGGAGCCCUGAAAUGGAAGUCACUGUAAAGUCAUCCCUUUUUCCUUCAAGGAGCUCAAAGCCUGGCUGGAGAGACAAGAUUAGAAAGCAAGGAGUAAUUAUACAUUUAAGCAAAUAUUUACUCAGGGCUUGCUCUACAUCGGAAACCACACUAGGUAUGAGGACACAAUGCUGAGCUGAACCAGACAGGUGAGACCGCUGCUCUCAGGAUGACUCAUGGGAGGACCGUUCCCAGACCUAGAAGCACAUCUGCUACCAAGACAUUAUCAGGACUUUCGAUUCUGGGGAAAGAUUUCUGGACUGGGAGUCUGGAGACCCGAGUUCUAAUCCUACCCCUGCUGGUGACUUGCUCAGUUCCCAUCAGUGGAUCUUCUCUAAACCCGUCAGCCUCUGCCCUCUCCUCUUUGAAUGUCUUCUAUAUGGGCACAGAUGGAGUGAUUGCUCAUUUUGUUUAGGAAAUCAAUUUGAUUUGACUUCCUGAUUGUUAAGCACAGCCAUUGUUACAAAUUAAA